rnacentral:rRNA from 1 species
AUACGUAGGUGACAAGCGUUAUCCGGAUUUACUGGGCGUAAAGGGCGUGUAGGCGGUCUUGCAAGUCAGAAGUGAAAUUCCUGAGCUCAACUCGGGCGCUGCUUCUGAAACUGCAGGUCUUGAGUGCUGGAGGGGAUAGCGGAAUUCCUAGUGGAGCGGUAAAAUGCGGCGAUAGUAGGAAGAACACCGGUGGCGAAGGCGGCUAUCUGGACGGAAACCGACACUGAGGCGCGAAAGCGUGGGGAGCAAACAGGAUUAGAUGCCCUGGUCGCCCACGCCGUAAACGAUGAAUACUAGGUGUAGGUGGUAUCGCCGCCCUCUGUGCCGCAGCUAACACAAUAAGUGUUCCGCCUGGGGAGUACGGGCGCAAGGUUGAAACCCAAAUGCAUUGACGGGG